UAUUCAGGCUCUUUUUUUCAUCCUUAGAAUGUGUCGGUCCCCCCCCCCCCAACUAAAAUGCCACCACCUUCUUCACCUGAUUAACCAGAUGGGAAUUUAGGGACAAUGACGACAUCAUCUCUGUCACACUUGCUGCCGGCACGAGUGUACCCUAUGUGAGGGUAGUCACAUGGAAGCCUCGGUUGAUAGGAGCCUCUCCUGAGGCAGGAACAGAAAUCUCUAAACUGUUCGAUGCAACCUGUCAUUAGACAUGAGGCUCCCAAUGCUGGGACGCCGCAGUGGGUGAUUAUGAAAGUCUCACUCUGCUGGCCUGUACCUGGCUCAGGAUUCCUGGUUCAGGCUUCUGGCACUGUUGUUCCCUCUGCUGGAAUACUCAUCUAGAACUCAGAGAGACCUCUCUGGAUGAACCUCCCCACCAUUCAAAAACUAUUGUGUGUUGGGGUUGGGAGAGGCAAUUGUGUGGCAGAAGACCGUUUUGUGGAGUGGGUUCUCUCCUUCCUCCUUUCCAUGGGUUCCAGGGAUCCAACACAGGUCGCCAGGCUCACAUGGCAAGUAUCUUUAACCGGCAGAGCCACAUCACCCCCAGCCCCUUUUAGAGUCUAAUUUUACUCUACUUCACCCUGUUAGCGCUCUACUUUUUACAGAAGUUAUCCCUAUCUGUGGUGGUUUCAGUGAGAAAUGUCCCCUGUAGACUCAGGCUGUGAACCGUUAGGAGGUGGAGCCGUGCUGGUGGGCGUAUACCACAGGGGGCAGGCUUUGAGAGUGUGUAGGCUUGCCCGCUUCCAGCUAUAUUGCUUUCUGCUUCCUGCGUGUGGAUAGCGUGUGAACUCUCCAUUCACCUGCUGCCAUGCCUCCUCGCAUUACAGACCCUCUUUCUGGAACUGUCGGCCAAAAAAGAUCCUUGUUCUAUAAAUCACCUCACCCAUGGUAUUUUUUUACCACAGCAAUAGAAAAGUAACUAAUGCAAGCACCAUGUUUACAUAAAUCCAUGGAGUUUAUAUUUUAGUGGGACAAGGUAAAUGACAAUGCUUGUAUGUAGAAAAAUCAAAGGAAGAUGAGGGACACAAGUAUAGGGGGAUUGCCCAAGCAAGAGAUCUGAGUGAAAUGAGGGGACUGGUUUAUAUGGGGACUGCAGGAACAGACUAGCUAAGGGGAACAGCAAAUGUGAAACAUGAUUAUACUUUUCUGAAAUGGCAAGAGGUUAUCCCAGUGGGUGAGGGGACAGAGGUAGACAUGACAACACUGAGUUGGGUGGUUAAAUGGCUCAGGGCUUUGGAGGCUGUGGUUAAGAACUGGUUUUUAUCUGAGUGAGAUGGGAAAUUGCCAUAGGCUUUGAGCAGAGGAGUAAUAUGGCCUACUCUUCAAAGGACCAUCCUGACUGCUGGAAUUUUCCAGUAUGUGGAGCAAAUAUGAAAACUUCCAAAGCUGGUGGCACCAUUUUAGGAGGCUGUGGAAACUGAAGAGGCUGGGCAGAAGAGGGCACAAGGGGCACGACUUUGAAGGCUGUGGCUCAGACCUUGCCUCUGGCCCUGUACCCAGCUUCCUGUUGGCUGCAAUGUGAGUGAAGAUCUUCUGUCAUGUUCCUCCGAGGCUGUGAUGUUCUGCCCACCCACAUGGGACCAAGCAACUAUGGAGUGAACCUUCUGAACCAGGAGCUAAAUAAAACCUACUCUCUUUA